AGUGAACGCUGGCGGUAGGCCUAACACAUGCAAGUCGAACGGCAGCACAGUAAGAGCUUGCUCUUACGGGUGGCGAGUGGCGGACGGGUGAGGAAUACAUCGGAAUCUACUUUUUCGUGGGGGAUAACGUAGGGAAACUUACGCUAAUACCGCAUACGACCUACGGGUGAAAGCAGGGGAUCUUCGGACCUUGCGCGAUUGAAUGAGCCGAUGUCGGAUUUGCUAGUUGGCGGGGUAAAGGCCCACCAAGGCGACGAUCCGUAGCUGGUCUGCGAGGAUGAUCAGCCACACUGGAAUUGAGACACGGUCCAGACUCCUACGUGAGGCAGCAGUGGGGAAUAUUGGACAAUGGGCGCAAGCCUGAUCCAGCCAUACCGCGUGGGUGAAGAAGGCCUUCGGGUUGUAAAGCCCUUUUGUUGGGAAAGAAAAGCAGCAGGUUAAUACCCCGCUGUUCUGACGGUACCCAAAGAAUAAGCACCGGCUAACUUCGU
rnacentral:rRNA from 1 species